GUCCGAUGGCAGAUGAUCGCUGGCGAGCCGGUUUGGCUUGCUGGAGGAAAGUCCGAACACCAUACGGCAGCAUGCCGCGUAGAAUACGCGGGCGACAUUCGCGAAAGCAAACGUUGACGGACAGUGUCACAGAAAAGACACCGCCGGUUCUUUGAAAGAAGCGCAGGCAAGGGUGAAAAGGCGAGGUAAGAGCUCACCGCUCGCGGAGUAAUUCGCGAGGCACGAAAAACCCCAUGCGGUGCAAGACAAAACAGAGGAAGGGCAGCCGGCCCGAUAAAUCCUCGGGUAUGGUCGCACCACUGCGAAUGAAAAUUCGCCGGGCUCUCGGAGAAAUCCGGGAGAGAUAAAUGAUCAUCCGCGGUCGAGAAAUCGACCGGACAGAAUUCGGCUUAUCGCCAUCGAAAAUAU
rnacentral:RNase_P_RNA from 1 species